UUUGAACGUGCAUGUACACGCAAAAAAAAAAAAAAAAAAAAGAAUGAAAGAAAGAAAAAAGAAAGUCUAAGCGUGCAUGCACACACACAAGCAUGCGCGCACACACUUCACAGAGGCUGUGUGAGAGCCAGAAUGCAGAGCCCGAGGGCUGUUGUGUCUCUGAUGUUUGUAUUGUUUACUCUGUUGUCCCAGUGCAUGUAGGAGAUUGUUGCCCACUUAGGCCUCACUCUAGCCUUGUAUUAUUUACUAUGACUGGUGCGGACAGCAGGUUACUGUCCAGGAGAGCUGAAAGGCCAAGCAAAGAGAAGGGGGAAUAAAAAAGCUGGAGAUCGAAGGAGACAGAAAGAGAUCAUUGACUGUCUUUUCCCCCUAUAUUUGUUCACAUACUGCUUCUCUCUGCUUUUCAGUUUGUCUUUGAUCCCUUCUCCUCAAACUUCUGCCCCCUGGGUCACCAGCUGACAGACAACGAGAGGAGGGUGCCGCCUCUUUUCUUAUCCACUCUUCUCUCGCUUUUUUUGCUGUUUGGGAUACGUAGCGUUUUGCAGCCGGGGAACCAUUUGGGAACCCCAGAGUUUGAGCUCACCUUGAAGACAACAUGAAUCUCAAAGAUCAACAUCAGAAGUUAAAGGAACCUGCGAUGAAGAUGUUAUUUCCCAGGGAUUGGCCACUCGACUCUGCCAGCCAAACUGCUGCAGUAACCUUGACAGGAGCUGACCUCUGUGAUUAUAAUCCUUCUAUUCUCAUCCACAGCGUCUGUGCAAUCCUGGGGAGCUUCCCAAGAUCUGACAUCCUCAGCUGAGCCUGUCCUCCUGUGGGAUUUUUCAAGGCUUGAUACCACAGGACUAUCAGGUACAAUUUUCCCCAUGAUAUGAUGUUUGAAACUUUACAGGUCCAUUGAAACUAUAUACAUAUAUACUGAAUAUAUGUCUCUGUGUGAGGUGGGGAUAAUCCCUUGAUCUCCUUCAGAAGGUCCCAGCAACAUGCCAAUGCUGACUUUGGCUAGAAGAGCCAGGACAGCUCAGGCGCCAAGGGAGUCUCAUUCCACUCAUGUGGUGCCAGCACUUAAACAAACAGGGUCAGCUUUCAAAGACAAAGACUGGACAUGGAUCCACUGGACUCUCAGGCAAGUACUCUGAUUCAGUCUAUUCAUAAAUCUGUCAGUCUCUCUCAACACAGAGGCACAUUCAAAGCAGGGGUUGAGGAUGGGGUGGGCGUUUGUUUCAUCUAAGCACCAGCACUGCUCGCUUUAAAGUGCCAUUUGUUGUCUUUCUUGUGAUUACUUUUUUUUUUUUGCAAUGAACGUAUGGAAUAAUAAGUGCUGCAUUUGAAACAUUUCGCAUCUUUGAAAUGAAAUUAUGCUUUGACAUUUUCCUGGUAAUUCUUUUUCCCUGCUUCUCAUUUAUAUACAUAUUUUCACUCAAUAACGUCGUCUCUGCUCUUACCUUGGACCUCAAUUAUCAUCUUGAGAGUUUCUAAAUCCUACAUUAGACAAAUGGCAAUUGACUCUUUUCUGUUGCCUAUAAUAGAAGUAGCAUUGUGAAGCUGCAAAUGAGAUAGAGUUCAGACAUUAGUAUUCUGUUAAUUUGACCCUAGGCGCCUCAGUGCAAUCAGAUCUGAAGCCAAAGCACUUAGCCUAUGCUAAGGAUUAAUGACGGCCAUCUAAAACAAUU